rnacentral:lncRNA from 1 species
CAAAUUCAGAAGCUAUAACUCUCUUGUAAGAUUCACAAAUACACAUCACUUCAUAACCUUUAAUUUUCCAAAACCAUCCACUAAAGCUCUAUGCAAAUAACAAUUAGAGCUUCACCUUGAAGCUCUAAUUCAACUAAGCUCAAACUCCUUUUUCAUAAGUAUCAGCAUCACAACAAAACCCACAAAAUUUCAGAAAAGAAACAAAGAAGAAUAAAAAGGAAUUAGAAGAAGAGUUCGGGGAAGAAGCAUAAGAGAAAGAAAGGAAAAUAAGCAUUACCAUAAGUUGGUCAUCGCUGGAGCUUUCGCUUGAGACGCUGCUUUCUCUGAUUUGGUAGUUUUAUUUGUUUUUCUUCAUGAUUUUUGCUUAAUUAAGGUUGAUGUAAGCUCACAUCACCAUUCCCCCAUGUUAAUUCUUGUUGUACAACUAUAAAUCGGACUAAAAUAGUGGGUUGGGUUUUUAGGGUUUCCGCAGGAUAAAGGUUUUGAUAUGGUUAAAUGGUUGAUUUGUUGUUAAUUUUUAGGCUUGAUUCGUAUUUAGGAGUAACGUUUGACUAGGUUUUAUGUUUAGAAGUUUUUGGUUUGGGUUGAUUUUGGUGAAUCUGGAAAAAUGAUGAAUACCAUUCAUCAUGUUCUUCACUAACUGAAACUAGCGGAAAUAUACCUGAACGCAUCACACACUUGAACAUACAAUAGAGUCGUCAUCGGACUUGAUUUAUUCUCAAAGGAAAGGGAAAACAUCGAUAAAACUCGGGGAAAUAAAAUUUGGGUAAGAAAGUCGGUUAUGCAAUGGGAAGGUAUUAGCACCCCUAACAUCUGUUGUACUCAACGAGAAUCGUUUGGAUUGUUCUAUGCUUGAAUGGGUGUUAUAUAUAAAGAUCACUCGCAAAAGAAUAAAGAAAAAGAAGCGAAUAGAUAGAGUGCUCGGUGAGG